CGACCGGCGCACGGGUGAGUAACGCGUGGGUAACCUGCCUUGUACAGGGGGAUAACAGUUGGAAACGGCUGCUAAUACCGCAUAAGCGCACAGUACCGCAUGGUACGGUGUGAAAAACUCCGGUGGUAUGAGAUGGACCCGCGUCUGAUUAGGUAGUUGGUGGGGUAACGGCCUACCAAGCCGACGAUCAGUAGCCGACCUGAGAGGGUGACCGGCCACAUUGGGACUGAGACACGGCCCAA
rnacentral:rRNA from 1 species